GUGGAGUAAAUAAAAAAACCAACACGAUGGAAAAACAAAAAUACAUGCAGGAGAGAAGGAUUCGUAUACAUCAAGAUGCGAAAUAGAAUCAUAUAGCUUAGAAUAUUCAUCCAACUUGCAGUCAAAAAACCGAAGUGUUCAUGAGCCGCACUAAUAGAUGACCACACCCAAGCUUUAACUGAAACACUGUUAACAAUUUGCUUCUGCAUUAUAUGCUAUUUUUGGGCUGCAGUACAUUGCUUCGCAUCAUUGUCAUCAAAGAUAAACAAAUAGCAUCAAAAAACUGUACCCAACACCAAAACCAAUAUAAGAGAAGAUCUGUCUCAUAUGAAUCAGAAGCAAAACAGCAAGUCCCUGCGUAUGAAUUUAUGCCCCUGUUUGGGGAUUAGCUGUUAGCGGUUAGCUAUUAGUGGAUUGAAUUAGAUGUUUUGACUAGCGGAUUGAAAUAAAUGUUUUGACUAGCGGAUUGAAUUAGCUGUUUCUCGUAAAACUGUUUGGUUAAUAGCUGAUUGAUUAGCUUUUUCUGAUACAAACCAAAACCUCUAACCCAAAAAACUCCUAAAAGUAGCUUUUUCAGAAUUAGUUUUUUGGAUCCAAACCACUAUUUCAAUCCGCUAUCUACCAAACACUUAUAUUAGCGGAUUCUAGUGGUCAAACCUCUAAACCACCCAAAACCUCUAAUUUUGCCCCAAACCUCUAACUUCCAAACAUGGCCAUAAUAUAUCAAUCUAGUUCCAGUCAGGCAGUCACUGUGAAAGAAUACACAGACUAUAAUACUUUACUGGUAAUGUUUAUAAACCUAGAUAAUGUUUAUAAAUCUCUACCACACUAUAAAAAAAACGCAAAGUAAGAAUUAAAAUUUGUGAAAUUUACUGUAGAAGAGAUGGGGGAUACUGACAUGCUGUAUAGAGGGCUAUUAAAAAUGUACUAGCCAAAAUUAGAUUAAAGUAAAUAAACAUUCAUAUCAGACAGAAAACAAAUGGACAUUGUCAUGGUGACCAACGACCGAGUAAUAAAAAUAUUUCUUAUGGACUGGGGCAGAAGCAGCGGAAACAUACUUUUCAUGACAAGAACAAACUAAUAUCUAUUUUAAACGGCACACUAAAUUUAAAUGACACAAAAAUCUUGAAGGUUACAGCAAUAUUGUUAAUUUAUUAAUAUUCAACAAGUCGCCAUAAAAAGAUUUCAAACAUAUACUGAGUUGGCCACAUCUUAGUAAACUACUCAGACAUCUAUCAGCAAAAGCAUAGGCAUCACAAGAGAAUGAAUCAAUUUUCAAUAACUUUAUGAAAUAUUAUCCAACCAAAUCUUAACCAAGAUCUGUAUACAAGCCAAAGUCUUGUUCUACUAAACAUACUUUAAAACCAGUAAAUCAUUGUCAUCUGAGGUGUCUACAAGACGGAUAGUGAUCAUCUUGAACUGCAAGUAUAAUAUCUUCUAGGGUUCAGAGUUAGGGGGAGAAGCAGAGGAGGAUAAAAUAAACAUAGGAGGGGAAAAUAAAUAUAAGCACUUAAGAUUAAUGGAAAUACAAUUUGAAAGAAAACAUCAAGAUGAGAGAUCAUUCUACAUAGGAUUCACAGGUAUCUUAGUCUACUUAAGUAUACAAAAAGCAACCUUUAGUUGUAACACAAAAGAAAAUAUUAUUUUAGGUAUAAUAGUUUGUUUCUGAAUCUCCAUAAAUGUACUUCUGUACAAAUGAAUUAUUACAACUAAUACCAUAUGCUUAAAUGAACUGUACUUGAACACAAUAUGAUUUAUUAGUGGCUACUGGCUAGUGCAUCAGAAAGGCUAUAUAUAAAUGUCAGGGAAGUCAUAGUAGUAUUAGUAGUCUUACUGUGUCAUACUACAGCAUUGCAUCAAUAUCGAGUAUUAGUAAGGACAGUAGAGACAUUUACUUCCAUUGGGCGUCUAUAAAUACUUGUGUGACUUGUAACAGUUCUGUCAUCUUGAAUAUAUGAAAAGGAAUACAUGUUCACCACCUCUCUCUCCUAUGCUCUCUCUCUCUCUCUCUCUAUUCUGAUCUCUAUCUUUCUCAUUUCUGCUCUGUUUCUAUCUGAAUCUCUCGUAAUCUCUGCCUAUCUUUUUUAUUUUUCUUGCUAUCUAGCUGUUCUUAACACAUACUCUAUAAAACACCAAAAACACUUACAAGAGGAGUUAACCAUGACAAUAUACCACACGCAGCUACUAACACAAAUAAUAACAAGUCUUGCAAUGUUACCACGUUAUAUGCAAAAUCCAUUUGCAGAUAGCUCUCAAAUAAGAAGAUAAACUAUACAGUCUACAGUCUACACUACUCGAGGGGAAUAAAUACAUAUAGAUAUAUACAUGUAAUCUCAAUGGAGUGUGAUGGUGGAUUUACUAAUGCAAGUAACAUUAAGGUAGCCAAAGAGACCCAUCAUGAAUGCAAAAAUCCAAUACAUAAGAUGGACUGAGACUGAUUUUUAUCUAGGUAGCAGUAAUAUAUGUAUAGGACUUUGCUUCAAUGUGUGAGGCCAUGAUAUUAGGGCAAUUAUAACAAAUAUUUACUAAAUUUCAUGAGUCCAGUUACCAGAUAGCUCUCAAGUAAAAAGAUCAAAUACACCACUCAAGGAAUAUACAUAUAUACAGAUAUCAUUUUAAGCUCAAUACAGUGCAAUGGUGAAUUAAGUUUUCUGAUAUAAAUGACCUUAACCAAGGUAGCCAAGAGACUUUAAAUAACUGCAAAAAUAUAACAAGAUAGCCAAAGGCUGAUAUCUAUCUAGGUAGCAGUAGUAUAAAGGACUUCACUUCAAUUAAUCUUUAAAAGGCCAUGAGAUUAGUCAUUAGGUCAACUAUUAGUAACUCCACUAGAACUUGUGGCAAAAACAUUCGAACAGCUUAUAAUUACCUUAAGAACAAAUGCAAACGUCAACCUUCCGCAUCCUUCAGGGAAAGAGCAAACUUCUCAACAUCGCCAAUGGAAUUUUCUGAACAAAGUCUUCUUCUCUAAUAACUACGUACAAUAAGUUCGUCAUAGUUGGCAUAUGAAAAAGUUCAUCAUCUGUAAAUGUGCAAUACAUACUUGCAAUAACAAACAAAUAUGGUGCUAAAUUUACCUUCACCUCCAUCCAACAAGUCAUUGUGAUUUGUGAGUGCAUAACAAUGCCUCCGCAUUUUUGGGGGUAUUAGAACCAACUUGCUAAUAAUUUGAAUUUGUAUCUUAUAUCUCACGCCAAAGCCUAAAAAACAGUAUACUUGAUCUCCAAUGAGAAAGUACAUCACUUUAUUCCAACUCCAAGUCAAGUUGUGAUUUAUUUCUCUUAAAUUAUAUCUGAUAUGCAAUUACUUAGGAGUAUAAUACUUCUUAACAAGCAAACAGUUCACAUGGUAUAAACAAGUUUCUAUGUAAACUGUUACAUAUUAAGGUUUAAAGUAUGAAGGUGUGUGUGUGUGUGUGUGUGAGUGAGUGUGCAUGUGUUUCUGUGUCAGUGUGUGUUUUCAGCCAAAAGCAUUAUAUGUAUAAUGUACCAUGUAACAUAGCUCAACAAGGCUGUCCACUUGAAUGUAUAA
rnacentral:lncRNA from 1 species